UGCCCCCUCGUCCAACGGCAGGACCCCGGACUUUGGAUCCGGUUAUGGAGGUUCGAAUCCUCCGGGGGCAA
rfam:Gemmatimonadetes bacterium RIFCSPLOWO2_02_FTLL_71_11 rifcsplowo2_02_scaffold_93944, whole genome shotgun sequence.